rnacentral:rRNA from 1 species
AGCGAACGCUGGCGGCGUGCUUAACACAUGCAAGUCGAACGUGAAAAGGGGCAACCCUGAGUAAAGUGGCGUACGGGUGAGUAACACGUAGGUGAUCUACCUGAGAGUCUGGAAUAACCUGCCGAAAGGCGGGCUAAUACUGGAUAGAGCGAGGGACUCGUAAGGAGUCUUUCGGGAAAGGGAGCCCGCAAGGGCCCUUGCUUUCAGAUGAGCCUGCGUCCUAUCAGCUAGUUGGGGGGGUAAAGGCCUACCAAGGCGACGAUCUGUAGCGGGUCUGAGAGGAUGAUCCGCCACACUGGGACUGAGACACGGCCCAGACUCCUACGGGAGGCAGCAGUGGGGAAUAUUGGACAAUGGGGGGAACCCUGAUCCAGCCAUGCCGCGUGUGUGAAGAAGGCCUUAUGGUUGUAAAGCACUUUAAGCGAGGAGGAGGCUCUUUUGGUUAAUACCCAAGAUGAGUGGACGUUACUCGCAGAAUAAGCACCGGCUAACUCUGUGCCAGCCGCCGCAGUAAUAC